GAGUUCGCGGGAGAGUAAGUUAUUGCCAGGGUUUUUAUUUUAUACUUUAAACCUUGAAUUUAUUUUUUAGAUGUUUAUAUUAUUUGAAUAAAACAUUCAAAUAAUAUAAAAAAUAAUAUAUAUAUUGACAUGGAUUAAACAAAGAUAUAUAUUAUUCUAUGUUGCAUAAACAAAUUGGCAAAAUAGAGAUGGAAGAUAAAAAUAUGGUCAAAGUAAUAAGAGUCUAUGGUGAAUGCC
rnacentral:misc_RNA from 1 species